rnacentral:lncRNA from 1 species
CAUACAUUUCCAGCUGGUUGCAAGGACUUCUGUGGUUGAAGAUCGCCCAGAGAGCGAUAAGCCAUACAGUUGCUGAUCUUGAAGCAUUAGGCAAGAUUGUCUGAGAACGAUGAACUGGAUUGGUAAUUACAAAAGAUCGCAAAUGACCAAUGCUUCGUCUGAGCCCCGGUCAUCAAAGGCCAAAGUUCACAUUAGAGAGCUGUCGCAUUACAAUCUUUUUUGUAGGGACAUAUUCAAAAACAAAGAUAGAGGCAAUUUGUGCCGUGUCUGCCACGUCCAUGAUGAUAAGAAGAAGAAUGCAAGAAAGAAGUGGCGCUCAUGGUCUCAGUGCACAGUGUGCCAAUCAUGGUCACACACAGCAUGUGGCUUUAAAAAGAACAUGUGCCUUCACUGUCAGGGUCAGGACACCAUGCAAACACCCUGAAGAUGUAUCUUGUUACUUGUUUGGGUUGGUUUUACUGUGUUGA